AAACACAAGAUUAUGGUCAAAAUAGAUGAUGAUGCUGGACUGUUCCUAAACUAUAGGAUGGACGUUGGCUCACCUGAACGUCCCUUUUCUUGGCGAUGCGAAGCAAUUCAUUGUUAUUUCUCGAAGACACCCACAGAAGAUGUGACCUAAGGAGAAACAAAGGAACAACCUCCCGGGAGUCCUCCCGCCCCCAGGCAACCUGAGCGAGAACUGCCUGCACUUUCCAAAAGAACAAAAACUCUGUUAGCUGGAUGGUAAGGUUUUGC